UAUACGUACUACAAUGUGGCCUGUUAACAUUGUUUGUCGAAUGGUGCUUGCAUUCAAUUGCAAUCCCCAUUCUAGAAAAGAAUUAGAAUGCAACAUGUAUGUUAGUUGUUAAUAGMGACUAACUAUACACCGAAUGGCAUAACAUCGUUAUCAUACUGCUAAAUUGUUUACCGACUUAUUAACAUAUUUAGCAGAGCCUGUAUGAGAUAACGUUGUUCAGUGCUAUUUGCAA
rnacentral:rRNA from 1 species